rnacentral:lncRNA from 1 species
ACCCCCAUCACAUACUCGUGGCCUAUGAAAGCACCACCGUGGCCUAUGAAAGCACCACCCCCAUCACACAAUCGUGGCCUAUGAAAGCACCACCGUGGCCUAUGAAAGCACCACCCCAUCACACAAAUAAGCGCGUCCGCCUAUUUAUAAGGGCUGAUAACCCUAGCAUAUGAUCAUAGCUUCACAAUAAGAAAAUCCAUCUCAUCAUACCACGUCUCAAUCAUGCAUAGUAGAGCCCAAAUCAAAAUCAUUCUUUCACAAAAGCAAUAAUUCUUAAUCAAAACCUCUUCAUUUAG